rnacentral:rRNA from 1 species
GAUGAACGCUGGCGGCGUGCUUAACACAUGCAAGUCGAACGAAGCACUUUAUUUGAUUUCCUUCGGGACUGAUUAUUUUGUGACUGAGUGGCGGACGGGUGAGUAACGCGUGGGUAACCUGCCUUGUACAGGGGGAUAACAGUUGGAAACGGCUGCUAAUACCGCAUAAGCGCACGGCAUCGCAUGAUGCAGUGUGAAAAACUCCGGUGGUAUAAGAUGGACCCGCGUUGGAUUAGCUAGUUGGUGAGGUAACGGCCCCCCAAGGCGACGAUCCAUAGCCGACAUGAGAAGGUGACCGACCACAAUUGAACUGAGACACAGCCCAAACUCCUACGGAACGCAGCAGUAUAGAAUAUUACACAAUGGGCGAAAGCCUGAUGCAGCCACGCCGCGUGAGCCAAGAAUUAUUUCGUAAUGUAAAUCUCUAUCAGCAGAGAAGAUAAUGACGGUACCUGACGAAGAAGCACCGGCUAACUACGUG